rnacentral:rRNA from 1 species
GGGUGAGAUGGACGAAAGCCUGAUGCAGCGACGCCGCGUGCGGGAUGAAGGCCUUCGGGUUGUAAACCGCUUUCAGUAGGGAAGAUAAUGACGGUACCUACAGAAGAAGCCCCGGCCAACUACGUGCCAGCAGCCGCGGUAAUACGUAGGGGGCGAGCGUUGUCCGGAUUUAUUGGGCGUAAAGAGCUCGUAGGCGGUUUGGUAAGUCAAAUGUGAAAUCUCCACGCUCAACGUGGAGGGGCCAUUCGAU